rnacentral:tRNA from 1 species
GGCCCCGUAGCUCAAUUCGGCAGAGCAGUUGACUCUUAAUCAAUUGGUUAGAGGUUCGAGUCCUCUCGGGGUCACCA